rnacentral:rRNA from 1 species
UACAGAGGUCUCAAGCGUUGUUCGGAUUCAUUGGGCGUAAAGGGUGCGUAGGCGGUGGGGGCAAGUCAGGUGUGAAAUCCCGGAGCUCAACUCCGGAACUGCACUUGAUACUGCCUUGCUAGAGUACUGGAGAGGAGACUGGAAUUUACGGUGUAGCAGUGAAAAUGCGUAGAGAUCGUAAGGAAGACCAGUGGCGAAGGCGAGUCUCUGGACAGUUACUGACGCUGAGGCACGAAGGCCAGGGGAGCAAACGGG